AUUGAACGCUGGCGGCAGGCCUAACACAUGCAAGUCGAACGAGUGGCGGACGGGUGAGUAAUGCAUGGGAACAUGCCUGAUGGAGGGGGAUAACUACGGGAAACUGUAGCUAAUACCGCAUACCAUCAGAUUGGCCCAAGUGGGAUUAGCUUGUUGGUGGGGAAACGGCUCACCAAGCCGACGAUCCCUAGCUGGUCUGAGAGGAUGACCAGCCACACUGGAACUGAGACACGGCCCAGACUCCUACGGGAGGCAGCAGUGGGGAAUAUUGCGCAAUGGGGGCAACCCUGAUGCAGCCAUGCCGCGUGAAUGAAGAAGGCCUUCGGGUUGUAAAGUUCUUUCGGCAGGGAGGCGUUACCUGCAGAAGAAGCACCGGCUAACUCCGUGCCAGCAGCCGCGGUAAUAC
rnacentral:rRNA from 1 species